rnacentral:rRNA from 1 species
AACCUCCGCAAUGUGAGAAAUCGCGACGGGGGGAUCCCAAGUGCCAUUCUUAACGGGAUAGCUUUUCAUUAGUGUAAAGAGCUUUUGGAAUAAGGGCUGGGCAAGACCGGUGCCAGCCACCGCGGUAACACCGGCAGCUCUAGUGGUAGCAGUUUUUAUUGGGCCUAAAGCGUCCGUAGCCGGUUUAAUAAGUCUCUGGUGAAAUCCUGUAGCUUAACUGUGGGAAUUGCUGGAGAUACUAUUAGACUUGAGACCGGGAGAGGUUAGAGGUACUCCCAGGGUAGAGGUGAAAUUCUGUAAUCCUGGGAGGACCGCCUGUUGCGAAGGCGUCUAACUGGAACGGUUCUGACGGUGAGGGACGAAAGUUAGGGGCGCGAACCGGAUUAGAUACCCGGGUAGUCCUAACUGUAAACGAUGCGGACUUGGUGUUGGGGUGGCUUUGAGCUGUCUCAGUGCCGAAGGGAAGCUGUUAAGUCCGCCGCCUGGGAAGUACGGUCGCAAGACUGAAACUUAAAGGAAUU